rnacentral:rRNA from 1 species
AUACGGAGGGUGCAAGCGUUGUUCGGAAUUACUGGGCGUAAAGGGCGCGUAGGCGGCGAUGUAAGUCAAAUGUGAAAGUCCUCGGCUUAACCGGGGAAGUGCAUCUGAAACUGCAUUGCUUGAGUAUGGGAGAGGAAAGUGGAAUUCCCGGUGUAGAGGUGAAAUUCGUAGAGAUCGGGAGGAAUACCGGUGGCGAAGGCGACUUUCUGGACCAAUACUGACGCUGAGGCGCGAAAGCGUGGGGAGCAAACAGGAUUAGAAACCCUAGUAGUCC